rnacentral:rRNA from 1 species
AGAUUAAGUUAUUAAGGGCGCACGGUGGAUGCCUUGGCACUAGAAGCCGAUGAAGGACGUUACUAACGACGAUAUGCUUUGGGGAGCUGUAAGUAAGCUUUGAUCCAGAGAUUUCCGAAUGGGGAAACCCAGCAUGAGUUAUGUCAUGUUAUCGAUAUGUGAAUACAUAGCAUAUCAGAAGGCACACCCGGAGAACUGAAACAUCUUAGUACCCGGAGGAAGAGAAAGAAAAUUCGAUUCCCUUAGUAGCGGCGAGCGAAACGGGAAGAGCCCAAACCAACAAGCUUGCUUGUUGGGGUUGUAGGACACUCUAUACGGAGUUACAAAGGACGACAUUAGACGAAUCAUCUGGAAAGAUGAAUCAAAGAAGGUAAUAAUCCUGUAGUCGAAAAUGUUGUCUCUCUUGAGUGGAUCCUGAGUACGACGGAGCACGUGAAAUUCCGUCGGAAUCUGGGAGGACCAUCUCCUAAGGCUAAAUACUCUCUAGUGACCGAUAGUGAACCAGUACCGUGAGGGAAAGGUGAAAAGCACCCCGGAAGGGGAGUGAAAUAGAACCUGAAACCGUGUGCUUACAAGUAGUCAGAGCCCGUUAAUGGGUGAUGGCGUGCCUUUUGUAGAAUGAACCGGCGAGUUACGAUUUGAUGCAAGGUUAAGCAGUAAAUGUGGAGCCGUAGCGAAAGCGAGUCUGAAUAGGGCGUUUAGUAUUUGGUCGUAGACCCGAAACCAGGUGAUCUACCCUUGGUCAGGUUGAAGUUCAGGUAACACUGAAUGGAGGACCGAACCGACUUACGUUGAAAAGUGAGCGGAUGAACUGAGGGUAGCGGAGAAAUUCCAAUCGAACCUGGAGAUAGCUGGUUCUCUCCGAAAUAGCUUUAGGGCUAGCCUCAAGUGAUGAUUAUUGGAGGUAGAGCACUGUUUGGACGAGGGGCCCCUCUCGGGUUACCGAAUUCAGACAAACUCCGAAUGCCAAUUAAUUUAACUUGGGAGUCAGAACAUGGGUGAUAAGGUCCGUGUUCGAAAGGGAAACAGCCCAGACCACCAGCUAAGGUCCCAAAAUAUAUGUUAAGUGGAAAAGGAUGUGGCGUUGCCCAGACAACUAGGAUGUUGGCUUAGAAGCAGCCAUCAUUUAAAGAGUGCGUAAUAGCUCACUAGUCGAGUGACACUGCGCCGAAAAUGUACCGGGGCUAAACAUAUUACCGAAGCUGUGGAUUGUCCUUUGGACAAUGGUAGGAGAGCGUUCUAAGGGCGUUGAAGCAUGAUCGUAAGGACAUGUGGAGCGCUUAGAAGUGAGAAUGCCGGUGUGAGUAGCGAAAGACGGGUGAGAAUCCCGUCCACCGAUUGACUAAGGUUUCCAGAGGAAGGCUCGUCCGCUCUGGGUUAGUCGGGUCCUAAGCUGAGGCCGACAGGCGUAGGCGAUGGAUAACAGGUUGAUAUUCCUGUACCACCUAUAAUCGUUUUAAUCGAUGGGGGGACGCAGUAGGAUAGGCGAAGCGUGCGAUUGGAUUGCACGUCUAAGCAGUAAGGCUGAGUAUUAGGCAAAUCCGGUACUCGUUAAGGCUGAGCUGUGAUGGGGAGAAGACAUUGUGUCUUCGAGUCGUUGAUUUCACACUGCCGAGAAAAGCCUCUAGAUAGAAAAUAGGUGCCCGUACCGCAAACCGACACAGGUAGUCAAGAUGAGAAUUCUAAGGUGAGCGAGCGAACUCUCGUUAAGGAACUCGGCAAAAUGACCCCGUAACUUCGGGAGAAGGGGUGCUCUUUAGGGUUAACGCCCAGAAGAGCCGCAGUGAAUAGGCCCAAGCGACUGUUUAUCAAAAACACAGGUCUCUGCUAAACCGUAAGGUGAUGUAUAGGGGCUGACGCCUGCCCGGUGCUGGAAGGUUAAGAGGAGUGGUUAGCUUCUGCGAAGCUACGAAUCGAAGCCCCAGUAAACGGCGGCCGUAACUAUAACGGUCCUAAGGUAGCGAAAUUCCUUGUCGGGUAAGUUCCGACCCGCACGAAAGGCGUAACGAUUUGGGCACUGUCUCAACGAGAGACUCGGUGAAAUCAUAGUACCUGUGAAGAUGCAGGUUACCCGCGACAGGACGGAAAGACCCCGUGGAGCUUUACUGUAGCCUGAUAUUG